rnacentral:lncRNA from 10 species
CAAAACAAAUGAUGAUGUUCUUAAGGAAAGCAGAGAGACACAGUGUGAAAUCGCUGCUCUCAGAUCAGCACACGGGAGAGGCCAGCAGUCAGGAGGGGGCUCACCGAGUUUGUCUGCACUCGCUCCCUCCGCAGCCGCCCUCUCCAGCUGGAAGAAGUCGUAAUCGAACCUGCUCAGGUCCUCACUGCCCCACUCCGAAGGAAACCCCACGUACAGGUGAGGUCAGAGGAGUGAAGUGACUUGCCCAAGACCACACAGUGAGUCAGGAGCAGGCCUGUCCCUCCAGCAGUGGUGCCAUGUUGUCCCCAAGCCAUGGUGGCAGAGGAGCUGGUGUGAACGCCCCAUCCUGCCACGUCUGUGAUGUGGGCACCUCACAUGACUGUCCCCUCCCAGCUCUUGGGGGGGACCUAGGACAUUCUGUGAGCCUGCAGGAAAGUUUACCAAAUGCUGCAGCUUUGUCCUGGUGGUGAUGGGCACCCCGUUAACGGCAACCUUGCAUUUGCUAUGUGGAGUGACCGUCACUUUACCGUCGGCAUUUGUGAAGGAAGCGUGUUUAUCUGAAAUUCUAAGAAGAUGAGAGUCAAAGACACCCAGCAAACGGCGGUUUCCGUGAGCAGGGUUGGAGCCCAGGAAGCAAACCAGCACUGCACCCUAGAUUUCAGCCAGAGGACGAAAGCCCUGCCCUCAGCUUUCUCAGACCAGCCCUGGAGUAGGUGGCCCGGGGAGACCUGGGCAGUGUCCCUGCUUGUCCUGCAGACUGUGUGGCUCUGCAGACCUCUAGAUGGAGGAGGCACAAUUCUCUAAUGCUGGACGAGGACACUGAUCAUGGAAACUCACCCCAAACCUUGAAUCGUGAUAGCAUUUGA